GCCUUCGUGGUGUAGUGGUCAGCACGCUCGACGCGAGAGGUCCGUGGUUCGAUUCCCGGCGAAGGCG
rnacentral:tRNA from 1 species